GACGAACGCCGGCGGCGUGCCUAAUACAUGCAAGUUGAGCGAUGAAGCUUGGUGCUUGCCCCAAUUUGAAGAGCAGCGAACGGGUGAGUAACGCGUGGGGAAUCUGCCUUUGAGCGGGGGACAACAUUUGGAAACGAAUGCUAAUACCGCAUAAUAACUUUAAACAUAAGUUUUAAGUUUGAAAGAUGCAAUUGCAUCACUCAAAGAUGAUCCCGCGUUGUAUUAGCUAGUUGGUGAGGUAAAGGCUCACCAAGGCGAUGAUACAUAGCCGACCUGAGAGGGUGAUCGGCCACAUUGGGACUGAGACACGGCCCAAACUCCUACGGGAGGCAGCAGUAGGGAAUCUUCGGCAAUGGACGAAAGUCUGACCGAGCAACGCCGCGUGAGUGAAGAAGGUUUUCGGAUCGUAAAACUCUGUUGGUAGAGAAGAACGUUGGUGAGAGUGGAAAGCUCAUCAAGUGACGGUAACUACCCAGAAAGGGACGGCUAACUACGUG
rnacentral:rRNA from 1 species